GGGGAAUUAGCUCAGUUGGUAGAGCACCUGCUUUGCAAGCAGGGAGUCAGGAGUUCGAGUCUCCUAUUCUCCA
rnacentral:tRNA from 1 species